AACGAACGCUGGCGGCGUGCUUAACACAUGCAAGUCGAACGAGAACGGGUUAUAGCUUGCUAUAAUUGUCAGCUAAGUGGCGCACGGGUGAGUAAUGUAUAGGUAAUAUGCCUCUUACUAAGGGAUAACAAAUGGAAACGUUUGCUAAUACCUUAUACUCCUUAUUAACAGAAGUUAAUAAGGGAAAGAUUUAUUGGUAAGAGAUUAGCCUGUAUUGUAUCAGUUAGUUGGUGGGGUAAUGGCUUACCAAGACUAUGAAACAUAACUGGUUUGAGAGGAUGAUCAGUCACACUGGAACUGAGACACGGUCCAGACUCCUACGGGAGGCAGCAGUGGGGAAUAUUGCACAAUGGACGAAAGUCUGAUGCAGCAACGCCGCGUGGAGGAUGACACAUUUCGGUGCGUAAACUCCUUUUAUAUGAGAAGAUAAUGACGGUAUUAUAUGAAUAAGCACCGGCUAACUCCGUGCCAGCCGCCGCCGUAA
rnacentral:rRNA from 1 species